rfam:Brachypodium distachyon strain Bd21 chromosome 2, whole genome shotgun sequence.
UUAGUAUUUUUUCCGUCCAACAAAAGAUGUCUCAAGUUUGUCAAAAUUUAGAUGUAUCUAUACAUGGCUUAAUGCAUAGAUGCAUUCAAAUUUAGUCAAAGUUGAGACACCCUUUGUUGGAUGGAAGAAGUAUAUA